rnacentral:rRNA from 1 species
UACGUAGGGUGCGAGCGUUGUCCGGAAUUAUUGGGCGUAAAGAGCUCGUAGGCGGUCUGUCGCGUCGGGAGUGAAAGCCCGUUGCUUAACGGCGGGUUGGCUUUCGGUACGGGCAUGCUGGAGUGCGGCAGGGGAGACUGGAAUUCCUGGUGUAGCGGUGGAAUGCGCAGAUAUCAGGAGGAACACCGGUGGCGAAGGCGGGUCUCUGGGCCGUUACUGACGCUGAGGAGCGAAAGCGUGGGGAGCGAACAGG